rnacentral:ncRNA from 1 species
UUAUUAAUGAGAGAUAAAGUUUUAUUCUUGUUUGGGUUAUUUAUUUAUUCUUUAAUUUAUAUGCUAGUUUUUGCUAUAUUGAUAGUAAUUUUUCUUGAUGGUAUUUAGGGUGUAUUAUAAAAAGCAGUAUAUAGUUUUUUAUAAUUUGGUUAUUCAAGAUUUAGUGAUUGAUUAUGUAAUAGUCUUGGUUAAAUUUGUGCCAGCAACCGCGGUUAUACUUGGGAGGCAGUUAAAUAUUUUUAGUUGAGGUAGUUACUUGUAAAGUAAUUAAUUUGUUUUUUUUGUGUUUAGGUGAAAUUUUUAUUUUUUUAUAGUUGAUAAAAUAGUUUAGGAGGCUAUGAAAUUUAUAUUAUAAACUAGGAUUAGAUACCCUAUUAUUUGUAAAUUUAAAUAUUUAUUGGCUUGAGUAGUAGUAGUUAUGAUCUUGAAACUUAAAGAAUUUGGCGGUAUUAUAGUCUAAUUAGAGGAAUCUGUCCCGUAAUCGAUAUUCCGCGAUGAAUACUUACUUGGUUUAGUGUUUAUAUACCGCCGUUCUUUGGAAUAUAUUAUGAGAGUGUAAUUUUCUUAUUUUUUGAUUAUAUAGUAUUUCAGGUCAAGGUUUAAUUUAUGGUCAAGUGGAGAUGGAUUACAAUAAGUAUUGUUUAUAUGGAAAAUAAGGUGUAAUAUUGUUUUGAAGGUGGAUUUAAUAGUAAUUUGGUUUAGAAUAUUUAAAUGAUUUUAGCUCUAUAAUAUGUACACAUCGCCCGUCGCUCUCGCUAUAAGGUGAGAUAAGUCGUAACAUAGUAGUUGUACUGGAAAGUGUGGCUGGAAAUGUAAA